GACGAACGCUGGCGGCGUGCUUAACACAUGCAAGUCGAACGGAAAGGCCCUGCUUUUGUGGGGUGCUCGAGUGGCGAACGGGUGAGUAACACGUGAGUAACCUGCCCUUGACUUUGGGAUAACUUCAGGAAACUGGGGCUAAUACCGGAUAGGAGCUCCUGCUGCAUGGUGGGGGGUGGAAAGUUUCGGCUGUUGGGGAUGGAUUCGCGGCUUAUCAGCUUGUUAGUGGGGUAGUGGCUUACCAAGGCUUUGACGGGUAGCCGGCCUGAGAGGGUGAACAGCCACAUUGGGACUGAGGUACGGCCCAGACUCCUACGGGAGGCAGCAGUGGGGAAUAUUGCACAAUGGGCGGAAGCCUGAUGCAGCAACGCCGCGUGCGGGAUGACGGCCUUCGGGUUGUAAACCGCUGUCGCCUGUGACGAAGCGUGAGUGACGGUAAUGGGUAAAGAAGCACCGGCUAACUACGUG
rnacentral:rRNA from 1 species